ensembl:lncRNA uncharacterized LOC107673087
AGUGAAGUGAGGAAGUUGUGUUGGCCGCUGCUGCGUCACCACUGAUACCAACAGGAAGAAAUAGCGCAGUAUUUGUGUGUAACUGCCGUGCUUGAAAGUUUCAUAAACCUCUCUUGCUCCUCUUCAUUCGCUCGACUUUGUCGGCUUCUAUCCAGUGACUUUUCCAAUGUCUGGCUUCUGUGCAACUCAUUCUUGAACCCUGCUUAUAGUCUGUCGGGCUGUGGGGCGUGUGGGGGUGACCAUAUGGCUGUCAGUUUAGCUGUAGUUUAGAGGAGAAGCCAUUGGAGACGUGUUUGUGGAAAGGAGAGGUAAGGUGUAGACAAGCUAUGGGAUGCUGCAGUGUGACCCAGAGGCAUACAGGGACUGAUGAAGUGGGCCCAGAUGAGAUCGAACUCCUGGAAAUCAACAAUGCAGGAAUCUGGAGUCUUGCUGAAAGCAGGCUCCAAAUUUCCACAAGGAAUGGCACAAAUGAAGGUCCUCAUCGCUGUCCCUCUUUGAGGCGCCUGAAGCAGGAGGACCCAGAUCCUGUCUCUGUGAAGGACACAACAAAACACAACAAUUCACAACUGGUGCUUUGGGGCUUGAAGAAAAAGGAGCUCCAUCAUAGGCUAUACACUCAACCGAUCAGAGAAUGGGAAGGACAGGCACCACACACCUAUGGAGACAUUAUCCACUCAUCUUCAGUGUAUUUACACAGUGGAUACACAAAGGCUAUGAGUGAAAGAUAUCUGGUUUUAUUUUCCUUCCAUUUGUUAAUCCUCGCUUUGGACAGCUCUAAUAAUGAUUUUAUUUAUGAGGGCAUUCUUCCUCUCUCAGCCAUUGAGGUGCGUCUGCUCUCACAGCAGGACCCCAGUUCUCCACAUAUGUUUGAGAUUAGCGGGCCUAUGGUGGACUCAAAGAUCUUCGUUUGUGCUACUGCUGCUGAAACAAAAGCCUGGAUGGAGAACAUCGAGAACAGGAGAUACAAAUCCUUAAGGCAACAGCUGAGCCCGUCCCAUAGUGCUCUCUCAUACCUGGUGCCAUGUAAUGAAAACUGGAAGAGGGAGGAGCUUAAAAGGUACUUACUGCGGUCUCCCAUCUUGCAAUGGGAGGGGACACCCAUUCAGCACAUGGGCUAUCCCAGAUACCUUUCACUGGUGCACAUCAGCAACGUAUACACACAGGUAAGAUUAUAGACUAUAAAUAGAGUGUGGUGUCCAUGCACGCAGUUCAGGAUGGUACUAAACUGACCUCUUUCAAACAACAGGACCGGCGUUUACAGGGACCUCAGGAGCGUUUGCUUGUGCUCUUCCCAUGUGACCUCCUCAUUCUGUCUCUGGACUGUCAUCGUGUACGUGUGAAAUAUGAAGGCUGUCUGCCACUAAAGAGUAUUAAAGCCAUGGAAAGAUCUGCAUUACCUGGCAGAUUGGAGUUUGAACUCACAGGUGAACUGAUGGAGCCUCUGCUUGUCUCCUGCACUUACCCUGAGGACUAUCAAAGCUGGAUCUUCCAGUUACAACAGCCUGAUAAAGUGGCAGAUUCAUUGCCACAUCACACCCCUCCACCUCUGAUACCGAAGAAGCGCAGAAGCUGAGGAUGUGACGGAUGGAAAUUAAAAUGCCUGUGAACUCCAUAUAUAGUGCCCAAUGAAAGCUGCUGAUGACAAAUGAACAUUUUACUGUUGCAUUUUACUCCUAAGUAACAAAUCUCUUCACUGCUUGUGAGGAAAUAUCUUCAAUAGCUAGUAAACUUACAGGUUUAGACAGUAAUAAAGUCAGCUCCAUAAAAAUCUGUUUUGAGAUG